rnacentral:pre_miRNA from 1 species
GUUUUCAGUUUUCCUCGGUAGUUAACUGCAACCGAUUCCAUAAUUCGGCAGAUAACUGUCGAAGGACAU